rnacentral:rRNA from 1 species
CCUGGCUCACGAUGAACGCUAGCUACAGCGCUUAACACAUGCAAGUCGAGGGGCAGCAUUUUAGUUUGCUUGCAAACUGAAGAUGGCGACCGGCGCACGGGUGAGUAACACGUAUCCAACCUGCCGAUAACUCCGGAAUAGCCUUUCGAAAGAAAGAUUAAUACCGGAUGGCAUACGAAUAUCGCAUGAUAUUUUUAUUAAAGAAUUUCGGUUAUCGAUGGGGAUGCGUUCCAUUAGUUUGUUGGCGGGGUAACGGCCCACCAAGACAACGAUGGAUAGGGGUUCUGAGAGGAAGGUCCCCCACAUUGGAACUGAGACACGGUCCAAACUCCUACGGGAGGCAGCAGUGAGGAAUAUUGGUCAAUGGGCGAGAGCCUGAACCAGCCAAGUAGCGUGAAGGAUGAAGGCUCUAUGGGUCGUAAACUUCUUUUAUAUGGGAAUAAAGUAUUCCACGUGUGGAAUUUUGUAUGUACCAUAUGAAUAAGGAUCGGCUAACUCCGUGCCAGCAGCCGCGGUAAUACGGAGGAUCCGAGCGUUAUCCGGAUUUAUUGGGUUUAAAGGGAGCGUAGGUGGAUUGUUAAGUCAGUUGUGAAAGUUUGCGGCUCAACCGUAAAAUUGCAGUUGAAACUGGCAGUCUUGAGUACAGUAGAGGUGGGCGGAAUUCGUGGUGUAGCGGUGAAAUGCUUAGAUAUCACGAAGAACUCCGAUUGCGAAGGCAGCUCACUAGACUGUCACUGACACUGAUGCUCGAAAGUGUGGGUAUCAAACAGGAUUAGAUACCCUGGUAGUCCACACAGUAAACGAUGAAUACUCGCUGUUUGCGAUAUACAGUAAGCGGCCAAGCGAAAGCAUUAAGUAUUCCACCUGGGGAGUACGCCGGCAACGGUGAAACUCAAAGGAAUUGACGGGGGCCCGCACAAGCGGAGGAACAUGUGGUUUAAUUCGAUGAUACGCGAGGAACCUUACCCGGGCUUAAAUUGCAACAGAAUAUAUUGGAAACAGUAUAGCCGUAAGGCUGUUGUGAAGGUGCUGCAUGGUUGUCGUCAGCUCGUGCCGUGAGGUGUCGGCUUAAGUGCCAUAACGAGCGCAACCCUUAUCUUUAGUUACUAACAGGUCAUGCUGAGGACUCUAGAGAGACUGCCGUCGUAAGAUGUGAGGAAGGUGGGGAUGACGUCAAAUCAGCACGGCCCUUACGUCCGGGGCUACACACGUGUUACAAUGGGGGGUACAGAAGGCGGCUACCUGGUGACAGGAUGCUAAUCCCAAAAACCUCUCUCAGUUCGGAUCGAAGUCUGCAACCCGACUUCGUGAAGCUGGAUUCGCUAGUAAUCGCGCAUCAGCCAUGGCGCGGUGAAUACGUUCCCGGGCCUUGUACACACCGCCC